UACGGAGGGUGCAAGCGUUAUCCGGAUUCACUGGGUUUAAAGGGUGCGUAGGUGGCUUUUUAAGUCAGGGGUGAAAGACGGUAGCUUAACUAUCGCAGUGCCUUUGAUACUGAAGAGCUUGAAUGAACUAGAGGUAGGCGGAAUGUGACAAGUAGCGGUGAAAUGCAUAGAUAUGUCACAGAACACCAAUUGCGAAGGCAGCUUACUAUGGUUUUAUUGACACUGAGGCACGAAAGCGUGGGGAUCAAACAGG
rnacentral:rRNA from 1 species